rnacentral:lncRNA from 1 species
AAAAUUUUAGUUACAAAGAGGAUUAUUGAAGAUCACUGGAGAAGGCAAUGAUUAAUCCAAAGAUGGUCCAGCGAAAUUCGGUACUUCCUUAAACCCAGCCUUGGAUUCAGCCAUUUUUCCAAGGUGCACUGAUUGCUUUUACUUGGAAAAGGAAGAUUAGCCCUGAGCUAACAUCCACCACCAGUCCUCCUCUUCUUGCUGAGGAAGACCGGCCGUGAGCUAACAUCCAUGCCCAUCUUCCUCUAUUUUAUAUGUGGGACGCCUGCCAGAGCAUGGUUUGACAAGCGGUACAUAUGUCUGCGCCUGGGAUCUGAACCGGUAAACCUCAGACUGCUGAAGCAGAACAUGCGAACUUAACCACUGCACCACCGAG